UACCAGCACCCCGAGUGGUCGGGACGAUUAUUGGGCCUAAAGCAUCCGUAGCCGGUUCUGCAAGUCCCCCGUUAAAUCCAGCUGCUCAACAGGUGGGCCGCGGAGGAUACUACAGAGCUAGGAGGCAGGAGAGGCAAGCGGUACUCAGUGGGUAGGGGUAAAAUCCGUUGAUCCAUUGAAGACCACCAGUGGCGAAGGCGGCUUGCCAGAAUGCGCUCGACGGUGAGGGAUGAAAGCUGGGGGAGCAAACCGG
rnacentral:rRNA from 1 species